rnacentral:rRNA from 1 species
CAGUCGCCACGGUAAUACGUAGGGUGCGAGCGUUAAUCGGAAUUACUGGGCGUAAAGCGUGCGCAGGCGGUUGUGUAAGACAGGUGUGAAAUCCCCGGGCUUAACCUGGGAACUGCGCUUGUGACUGCACAGCUAGAGUAUGGCAGAGGGGGGUGGAAUUCCACGUGUAGCAGUGAAAUGCGUAGAGAUGUGGAGGAACACCGAUGGCGAAGGCAGCCCCCUGGGCCAAUACUGACGCUCAUGCACGAAAGCGUGGGGAGCAAACAGGAUUAGAUACCCGUGUAGUCCCUGUCUCUUUACA